AACGAACGCUGGCGGCAUGCCUAACACAUGCAAGUCGAACGAGACCUUCGGGUCUAGUGGCGCACGGGUGCGUAACGCGUGGGAACCUGCCCUUAGGUUCGGAAUAACUCCCCGAAAGGGGUGCUAAUACCGGAUAAUGUCUUCGGACCAAAGAUUUAUCGCCUUUGGAUGGGCCCGCGUUGGAUUAGCCAGUUGGUAGGGUAAAAGCCUACCAAGGCGACGAUCCAUAGCUGGUCUGAGAGGAUGAUCAGCCACACUGGGACUGAGACACGGCCCAGACUCCUACGGGAGGCAGCGGUGGGGAAUAUUGGACAAUGGGCGAAAGCCUGAUCCAGCAAUGCCGCGUAAGUGAUGAAGGCCUUAGGGUUGUAAAGCUCUUUUACCCGGGAUGAUAAUGACAGUACCGGGAGAAUAAGCUCCGGCUAACUCCGUG
rnacentral:rRNA from 1 species